AUUGAACGCUGGCGGCAUGCUUUACACAUGCAAGUCGAACGGUAACAGGCCUUCGGGUGCUGACGAGUGGCGAACGGGUGAGUAAUGCAUCGGAACGUGCCCAAUCGUGGGGGAUAACGUAGCGAAAGUUACGCUAAUACCGCAUAAGCCCUGAGGGGGAAAGUGGGGGACCGCAAGGCCUCACGCGAAUGGAGCGGCCGAUGUCAGAUUAGCUAGUUGGUAGGGUAAAGGCCUACCAAGGCGACGAUCUGUAGCUGGUCUGAGAGGAUGGCCAGCCACACUGGAACUGAGACACGGUCCAGACUCCUACGGGAGGCAGCAGUGGGGAAUAUUGCGCAAUGGGCGAAAGCCUGACGCAGCCACGCCGCGUGAGUGAUGAAGGCCUCGG
rnacentral:rRNA from 1 species